ACCCCCAUCAGAAGGACAGGAGCACCGCGUCGCAGAGAGCCUCAGGAGUCAUCACAGGUAAGUUUUGUUGCAUUAUGGCAGUGGUCUGUUGCGGCCGCUGGAAGUGGGCCACUUGCAACAAUUUUGUCCGGCCGGCGAUUGCAGGUUAGUUGUUCUUGGUAUCGGCAUCCAUCGCUGCCGUCAUUUGAUAAAAUUGCCGUUCGUCAGGAAGAGGAGUUGCAAUGAGUUGCCCCACGCAGCUGUCAUUGCAUUUUUUGAGAGCUGCUGUCUAUAUGGUGGUGGAGUCGUCUCGUGGCGAAGAAGUCGUCAGAGAGGAUUGUGGCUCGGUCUGUCACCGAAGGAAGCCAGGUGCGCCGCGUCUUGUGGCCAUAGCGUCAGGAUUGGCAGCUUGGGGCCGCCGUUUUAAGAUUUGUAGCAGAGAGCCGCCGCAACGGAAUAGUCAUGGAAAUGGAUGCAAAAAUAGUAUUUGGUACAUUGAGUGGAAUUAAUUUAAGGUACUUAAAGAGGAAGCUAGUCUGGGGUGAGUAUUUUAUUGCUUUUUUAAUUGCGUUGAUUGAUUUGCUUUUCAGGUACGUUUUGUAUGGGCUAAAUUGGAGGCCCUUGUCGUUGUGUUAUUGCAGCUAGAAUGCCACGAUUUUGGAGUCAUCAAGUUUGCAAUUAGAUAAGUAUUAUAUUAUUAAUAUAUAUUUCCCAGUAAUAGCUUGUGUUCCCUUGUUUCAAUAGUUGAAGUCUUGGAAGCU